rnacentral:rRNA from 1 species
UACGUAGGGGGGCAAGCGUUGUCCGGAUUUAUUGGGCGUAAAGAGCGUGUAGGCGGCCGCACAGGUCCGUUGUGAAAACUGGAGGCUUAACCUUCAGACGUCGAUGGAAACCGUGCGGCUAGAGUCCGGAAGAGGAGAAUGGAAUUCCUGGUGUAGCGGUGAAAUGCGCAGAUAUCAGGAAGAACACCCCGUGGCUAAGGCGGUUCUCUAGUACGGUACUGACGCUGAGACGCGAAAGCGUGGGGAGCAAACAGG